UACGUAGGGUGCAAGCGUUAAUCGGAAUUACUGGGCGUAAAGCGUGCGCAGGCGGUUUUGUAAGUCUGUCGUGAAAUCCCCGGGCUUAACCAGGGAAUGGCGAUGGAGACUGCGAGGCUAGAGUUUGGCAGAGGGGGGUAGAAUUCCACGUGUAGCAGUGAAAUGCGUAGAGAUGUGGAGGAACACCGAUGGCGAAGGCAGCCCCCUGGGUCAAAACUGACGCUCAUGCACGAAAGCGUGGGGAGCAAACAGG
rnacentral:rRNA from 1 species